AUGGAGAACAAGCUUGUUAAGAAGGAUUACACGGAGGAGUCCAGAGAUGUAUGUGGAUGGAAGUCAGGAGUGUUUCAUGAACCCAAAGACCAGCUGGAAAAUCAAAAAAGCUCAAAAAAUGAGUCUGGAAGAAAAUUGGUGAAUUCAAUCCAGAGGACCUACAAGCACUCUGACAGGCUCAGAGAGCAGAGUCUGUACCAAAGAGCAAUUACCCCACCAAACGAUUUCAGGUACAAUUGACCUAAAUAUAGCACUCUCUUGAGAUUAUUGACAAGAGUUCAUUUCCUGUAGUGCUUUUCCCA
rnacentral:lncRNA from 1 species